rnacentral:rRNA from 1 species
UACGGAGGGUGCAAACGUUGCUCGGAAUCAUUGGGCGUAAAGCGCACGUAGGCGGCCGACUAAGUCGGGUGUGAAAGCCCUGGGCUCAACCCAGGAAGUGCACUCGAAACUGACCGGCUUGAAUAUGGAAGAGGGUUGCGGAAUUCCCGGUGUAGAGGUGAAAUUCGUAGAUAUCGGGAGGAAUACCGGAGGCGAAGGCGGCCGACUGGGAGAAUAUUGACGCUGAGGUGCGAAAGCGUGGGGAGCAAACAGG